GUUACAAUAAAUUUUUAUCUGCUACAAGGCUGUGCAGAUUGCAGGUUUUUGUCCUAUGCAGGUUGCAGGUGCAGGUUGAGGAUUUUGUGCUGUUCCCUUGGCUGUUUCUUGUCCUAUUCAGGUUGCAGAUUUUUGUCCUAUGCAGGUUGCCGUUGCAGGUUGAGGAUUUUGUGCUUGCUGGUGUUCUGUUCUGCAGGAUUAUGUGAUGUGGUGUUCUCUUGGUUGUUUCUUGACAGCUGAUCACAGCAUUAUUCUUGACACCCACCAUCUGAGGUUGUUGCAUUUUCCCCUUCAAGUAUCCUCUGAAAAUUUGUUGGAUAAGAUCCUAGUAUACAUUCAGAUGAUAUAAGUCAAAAGGACAUGUAACCAGCCAUGAAAACAAAUCUAAAUAAUUAUUAUGAAAUUUCUCUCUUUUCUCUGUUGCUGCAACUGUCAUUCCUUGACAGGAAGGUUGAAGAGUUUUAGGGAAGCCUCAAG
rnacentral:lncRNA from 1 species